ensembl:lncRNA
CUCUGUGUUGGCGCCUGCUGGCCACUGAGGGAUGGGCACAUGCCACCUGCUCAUCUCUGCCCUGCGGUCCCCCCAUGGUCCCUCCGCGUGCCUGUCUCUCUGCAGUGCCCUCCUUGCCCGUGCAGCCCACCCACCCACAGGCUCACCCCUCCUGCCAGCUGCCAGAGGCCCCCUCCAGCAGGGCCUCUCUCCAUCACCUCAGCUUCACUCUCUCCCUCAGCACCCGCCCUGCCGGAGGCCCCAGCCCUCCAUGGACAGCAGGGGCCACGUGGAGCCCGGGCUGUUCACCCGCCACCCAGUGCUGGCUGCCUUCUUGGUGCCAAACCCCCUUCCCCCACCCAGAGACUGGGCAGCUGUGUCUGGUUCAUUCUUUGCACUAACCACAUUUGUCAUCUCUAGGGCAGGCCGGGGCUGCGGGCUGAGGGGGACUGCUGGCACCCCCUUCCCUCCCUUCUUGGUUCCAUUUCCAUCCGUGACAGGUACAGCGUCCCAGGACCCCGGCCUGAGGGGCUGGACCCGAGCCGUCUGUGAACGUCCCUCAGCCCCUGCCAUCCCCUCUUGGGACUAACCACUAACCUCACCCCCCAGCCUCCACGGGUGCCCCUGGCUGGCCCAGAGCCGGCAGCGUGAGCCCAAGUCCGGGCUGGAGCCGAGGCCGGAGCAGCUGGCUGGGAAUCAAGGCUGCAGUAGCGUUUCUUCAUGGGGUGCUCCAGGGGGUGCCAAAGACCGACAGGCAGCCCAAGGGCCUGGACACCCCUCCCCAGGCAGGUGCUGCCCCAGGAGGACUGUCCUCGGGAAUGAACCUCCCGCAGGCUGUGGACUGAGGUCCUGUGGCCUCGGUCUCCCUCCCGGUGAAGUGGGAGCGAGGCUUCCCUACGGUGCUUUUGGCUUUAGUGUACGAUGUUUGCUGUGCUUCCCGCCAUGGAGGGCAGAGCCACGCCACAUCAGGAUCGGUCGUGCUGCCCCUUCCGGCCCUAGCCCUGGCCCAACCAGCCCAGCCCUCGAGGCUUGAUGCCUGUGCCAAGGCCAGGGGCAGCCAGAGGGCAGCUGGAUGGCCGCGUGCAGGGGUCAAGGCCGGGCCCCGCAGGGGGACAGGCCGCUAGCCCCAGCAGUUUACAGACACGUGGCUCUUCCUCCCAGAGCAGCCGGCAGCUACCUGGACCGGAAAUGUCCUCAUCCCUUCCCUGGGGCCAGGCUCUGCCCUGCCCUUCCUCUGUGAACCCCUCCUUUCUUUGUGCUGGUAUUUGGGACCAAAAAUGGGGAUGUGGGAGGCCAGAGUGGGGAGGGGAGUCCAAGCCAGGGCGUCUGAGCUUCCCAGACGUGACCAAACCUCAGUGGAGGGGCCUCUGUUUCAGGCCCCGCGUGGCUGACAUUCUGAGCCCCCUCGGAGGCCCCACCACAGCCAACCUGCCCAGUCUUUCCUCUGGGCUUGACUCGCCAGGGGAGCUCUCCAGAGCUAGGGCCGGGAGGGAGGCCCUGGCACUCUCUGGCCUGGGUGCCCGCCAAGCGCCCUGCGACCGCUCAGAAGCACAAAUGCUGUCCAUGGCCGCGAGGCUGCCUGCCAGGUGAAUGGACAUAGCUCGAGAGGCGGUGAGGCCGGGGCUUCCAGCCUCGUGCUGUCUCGGGACUCCCGACCAUGGUGUGCGUGUGUGCCCGUCUGUGACUUUCUACUCACCGAGGUUGAAGAAAGGAAACGGGGAAAAUCAAAAGGGGUUCAAACCCCACCUCAGUAGGUGGAGGGGAGCGCCUGCCGUUGGUUGUACUUUUGUUCUGAGUUUUCAGUGCCCUGUUCCUAACUACUCCAUCCCAUGACCUCACCACACCUACUGGGGGUAUCUGGCUGGUGCCUGCUGCCGUGGCCGGGUCCCACUCUCACCCUGCACAGGGGGUCUCGCAGCUCCCAGGCCCACAGCUUCAUUGGAAGGACAGGGUGGCCCUGGGGAGAAGAGGGAGGAGCCCAUGGGCUUACCUCACCAAGGGGGCUCCUCAGCAGGCAUCCACUACCCCAGGAGCCCUCCACAUGUCAUGGCAAGCUUGGUAGUGAACGGGCCUGGUUGGGAGCAGCCCCUGGCCCAUUGCCCACCCACCCAUCUCACUAUGCAAUUUGAGUUCCAAGCACCAUUUGCUCCUGCCCUGGGGCCAGCUCUGCCCAGCCCUGGGAGGGGUGGUGAGGCAGCGCCCUGGACCCCAGAACCUCAGAUGGGGGCAGGCGGGGGACCAGGGCCCCUCCUGUGGGAUCUUUGUUUUGUGUUUAACCAUAAUGGUUGUGUACUGAACCACUUCAUAUUUGUUAUAUAUAAUAUAUAUAUAUAAUCUUAAGACUCAGCCUCCCGGUUUACUCCCCGCCCCACACACCGCCCGGGCAUCUGACCUCCCCCACCCCAGUGUGAUUUAACAUCCAGGAACUGAGGUCUGAACCAUUUUGCAUUUCCCCCUCCUCCAGCCUCCGUAGGGCCAUGGCUGUAUGUACUGUCGCUGUGUUUUUUUGUUUUUUUAGAACUGGGUUUGGGGGCUGAUUUUUAUUUCUUUGGGGGCUUUAUUUUUCUUGGCAAAUACUAAAAAUCUCGUCAAUGUAAUUUCUGUGGUUUCUAUUCAGCUUGGGUUUCAUGUUUUAAAAUAAACAAAUUUUAA